CUGGUAUAAAUCAUAUCUAGACUCUGAAAAUUACUUCAAAGGCGAAGACGGGUCAAAGCAUUUUCUAAGGUUAUGGAGAAAAUUAGAGAAGCUUUGGAUCAUCAGUGAAUCGCCCCACUUAUUUUAACGCAAUAAUUAAUGGUCUUCGAAUCCAUAUUAAUGGAGAAUACAAUUACAAAGAUCAAAAGAAGGCUCAUGCUAAAAAGGCUCUUGAUGGAAUCAGUUCUGUCCUUGGACUAUCAGAAGCAAGAGUCCGUGAUGUGAAAGAGAUGGUAGAAAGUAUCACGGAUGGGGAAUGGGGUUUGGGAAGAUGGUUUUCUGUGCUUAUUGGUGCCUGUGUUUGUGUGGUAGCCCGCCAGAAAAAGCUACCCUUCACUAUGACAAAGAUUGCGGCAGCCUCAAAUUGUGAUGUUGAUGAGCUGGGGAGAAUGUACAUCAAAGUUCGGAAGUUUUUGGAUCUGCAACUGGUUAGUAUUUCAUAACAUUUAUGUUUACUUUUUCAGGCCAAAUAUUCAUGCAACCGUUGUAUGCGAUGUUGUUUCAUGGAACAUAUUUUGAGUUUUGCUUACUUCAUGGAAAAGCUUUUUUGUUUUAUGAGGCUACAUAAAAUAUCUCAAGGGAAGAGUUUUUAUUAUUUUUGUUUUGGUGAAUUGUCUUCCCAUAGUAUGUUAGAAUGAGCAAUCUCCUUUUACACAUGGCUUGCUUCAUGUGAAUUGGACAAAUUUCACAUCUAUAGGCUACAACUCUAUAUAGUAUAUAUGCAUGCACAUAUUUAUGUGUCUUUGUGUGUGCAUGUGGACAUGUGUGCGUUUAUAUACUAUUAUGGAUAUGCAUUUGAUAAAUUCUUUAUUUAUUGUUUUUUUUUUCUAAACAAAUCAUGCAAAAAUGCUGAUUCUGUUUGUCUGCACUUUGUGCAACUAGAUGUAUCUUAUUAUUAGAUUCCUUAUAUUAAUUCUCAAAAAUGCAUUAAGAGUGAGGAUCAGGGUCUUGGUGAAGGAUGAAGAGGUCAACAGAAGCCGGAG